rnacentral:misc_RNA from 1 species
AACGCACAUUGCGCCCCUUGGUAUUCCGGGGGGCAUGCCUGUUCGAGCGUCAUUAUGACCAAUCCAGCCUGGCUGGGUGUUGGGCCUCGCUGUACCGGCGGGCCUUAAAACUAGUGGCGGUGCUCUUAGGCUCUACGCGUAGUAAAUUUCUCGCUAUGGGGUCCUGGGAGAUGCUAGCCAACAACCCAUAAUUUCUUAGGUUGACCUCGGAUCAGGUAGGGAUACCCGCUGAACUUAA